CCUACGGGAGGCAGCAGUGGGGGAUAUUGCACAAUGGGGGGAACCCUGAUGCAGCGACGCCGCGUGGGUGAAGAAGCGCCUCGGCGCGUAAAGCCCUGUCAGCAGGGAAGAAAAUGACGGUACCUGAAGAAGAAGCCCCGGCUAACUACGUGCCAGCAGCCGCGGUAAUACGUAGGGAGCAAGCGUUAUCCGGAUUUACUGGGUGUAAAGGGGGCGCAGACGGCGAUGCAAGCCAGGAGUGAAAGCCUGGGGCCCAACCCCGGGACUGCUCUUGGAACUGCGUGGCUGGAGUGCAGGAGGGGCAGGCGGAAUUCCUGGUGUAGCGGUGAAAUGCGUAGAUAUCAGGAGGAACACCGGUGGCGAAGGCGGCCUGCUGGACUGCAACUGACGUUGAGGCCCGAAAGCGUGGGGAGCAAACAGGAUUAGAUACCCUGGUAGUC
rnacentral:rRNA from 1 species